CCUACGGGUGGCAGCAGUGAGGAAUAUUGGUCAAUGGGCGCGAGCCUGAACCAGCCAAGUCGCGUGAGGGAAGACGGUCCUAUGGAUUGUAAACUUCUUUUGUCGGGGAGGAAAAGACGCCACGCGUGGCGGUACGAGAGUACCAGAAGAAAAAGCAUCGGCUAACUCCGUGCCAGCAGCCGCGGUAAUACGGAGGCUGCGAGCGUUAUCCGGAUUUAUUGGGUUUAAAGGGUGCGCAGGCGGAAGAAAAAGUCGGCGGUAAAAUUGAGGGGCUAAACCUCUUCCGGCCGUUGAUACUGGUGUGCUUGAGUGAACGAGAAGUAUGCGGAAUGCGUGGUGUAGCGGUGAAAUGCAUAGAUAUCACGCAGAACUCCGAUUGCGAAGGCAGCAUACCGGAGCUCAACUGACGCUCAUGCACGAAAGUGUGGGUAUCGAACAGGAUUAGAUACCCGAGUAGUC
rnacentral:rRNA from 1 species